rnacentral:rRNA from 1 species
GUGGGGAAUAUUGGACAAUGGGCGAAAGCCUGAUCCAGCCAUGCCGCGUGUGUGAAGAAGGUCUUCGGAUUGUAAAGCACUUUAAGUUGGGAGGAAGGGCAGUAAGUUAAUACCUUGCUGUUUUGACGUUACCGACAGAAUAAGCACCGGCUAACUUCGUGCCAGCAGCCGCGGUAAUACGAAGGGUGCAAGCGUUAAUCGGAAUUACUGGGCGUAAAGCGCGCGUAGGUGGUUCGUUAAGUUGGAUGUGAAAGCCCCGGGCUCAACCUGGGAACUGCAUCCAAAACUGGCGAGCUAGAGUACGGUAGAGGGUGGUGGAAUUUCCUGUGUAGCGGUGAAAUGCGUAGAUAUAGGAAGGAACACCAGUGGCGAAGGCGACCACCUGGACUGAUACUGACACUGAGGUGCGAAAGCGUGGGGAGCAA